rnacentral:rRNA from 1 species
UGGGGAAUCUUGCGCAAUGGGCGAAAGCCUGACGCAGCCAUGCCGCGUGAAUGAUGAAGGUCUUAGGAUUGUAAAAUUCUUUCACCGGGGACGAUAAUGACGGUACCCGGAGAAGAAGCCCCGGCUAACUUCGUGCCAGCAGCCGCGGUAAUACGAAGGGGGCUAGCGUUGCUCGGAAUUACUGGGCGUAAAGGGCGCGUAGGCGGACAUUUAAGUCAGGGGUGAAAUCCCAGAGCUCAACUCUGGAACUGCCUUUGAUACUGGGUGUCUUGAGUGUGAGAGAGGUAUGUGGAACUCCGAGUGUAGAGGUGAAAUUCGUAGAUAUUCGGAAGAACACCAGUGGCGAAGGCGACAUACUGGCUCAUUACUGACGCUGAGGCGCGAAAGCGUGGGGAGCAAACAGGAUU